UACGAAGGGGACUAGCGUUGUUCGGAAUUACUGGGCGUAAAGCGCACGUAGGCGGAUUUGUAAGUCAGGGGUGAAAUCCCGGGGCUCAACCUCGGAACUGCCUUUGAUACUGCAAAUCUCGAGUCCGAUAGAGGUGGGUGGAAUUCCCAGUGUAGCGGUGAAAUGCGUAGAUAUUGGGAGGAACACCAGUGGCGAAGGCGGUCCCCUGGGCCGGAACUGACGCUGAGGCGCGAAAGCGUGGGUAGCAAACGGG
rnacentral:rRNA from 1 species